CUCUACAUCACAGAACCUCCCAAGGAACAUGCUUUGGUCACUCACAGGCACAUCAAAGCCUUUGGGACAUUUGUCUGGAGAGACCUCUGGGUUUGUCACCACUUCACUGGACGACCACUGGAAAUGUUCAUCACUGAAAUUUCCUUGACCGAAGAACAUCACUGCAUUAUUUCCUAGAGGAACCCUGACAUUUUUAGCAAUCCAACUGUACAAGCAACUCCAUGCUUCAGAGGACACGUCCCCUCUCACCAGCUCCAAAAACAGACUUGAUUUGUCAAAGAGGAAUCUCAUUCCCCUUCCAGUGAUACAAGCAGCCAUGGUGACAGGAUGUGACACCUGGAACUGCUGCAGCCAUGUUGCUACCAGAGAAGGUAGCUACCAGAAGACUUUGAGAAUGUCAAAGCAGAAAAAUGGAAAGAACUCAUGAGGUCGAGAUAACAGCCAGGCCACCUCCAGCAACGUGGGUUGUACAGCAGGCAUUCUGGAAUCUCUCUCUCAAUAAGUCUAUUGAUCAGAACUCCUCAAGCAGUUUCCUCAGAUCGCACAACAAACUGGAUUUUCGCCUGAGUAUCAUCUUUUCAGUUCCUGGUUCACUGGUCUUCCCUUAGGAGAAGGACCUUGAGCUCUCAUGGGCUAUGAAGACAGAGGAGAUGCAGAGAGGAAACAAAAUAUUCCCGACAAACAGCAUUAUAGAUAUACAUGGCAAGUAUUUACAUAUCCUCCCUACUUAUGGUAUUUUCCCUUAUAAAAUAAAAUAAAAUCUUUCUGACUCCAAAGUCUUUCCUGAA